AGCAAUCCCUGUAAGGCGGCUCCUGGAAGACUCUCAGUCUUGUCAGUCCAGAGCCGUUUCACUUCUCCGGCCCUUCCCCCCCCCCUUCCUCCUGUCAGCCAGCCAGCCAGGUCCUGUUCACCAGAAGCGGUUCCCCAGAGAUCUAGUUACACUUGCAGCCCCACCGCGCGUCCCAUUUAAGCCCCAGUGCUGUGGUAAACUGGCGGCUAAGACCUUGGUAAUCUCCGCUGGUGAUAUGGGAGGUUGGGGGUCGGGAAUCCCCUCUGCUUCCCUACAGACACGCCCCCGGAGAGAUCCCUGAGGUUUCCUGGCUGCUUGUAUCUGGCUGGGGUGGGAGUCACACACCUGCUAAAGUGGAUUCCGCUGGGAAUGAAUUCUGUCAGCCGAACUUCGAUGACGUCACCUCUCUGCUAUGGCGGGCCCCAGGCUCCUUGCCGGAGUGUCCGAAGGGAGGGGUGGGACUGGUCCGUCCCCUGUUGGCCUCAGCUCCCGGCUCGCUAUUUCAUGAAGGUUUGGCUAAAGACCUCUUCCUGCCAAGCUGCGUCUCGGAGUCUAGCCACCCAGUCACGGUGGCUGCGGGCUGGCGGGCGGGCAGGCGCACCACGGCGCGCGGACAGCGGCUGGCGGAUCUGGACCUCUGCGUCUUGUGGCAGGGAUUCACUCGUCUGGG
rnacentral:lncRNA from 1 species